rnacentral:rRNA from 1 species
CGAGUGAAGCGGCAACAGCUCAAAUUUGAAAUCUGGCCCUUUCAGGGUCCGAGUUGUAAUUUGUAGAGGGUGCUUUGGUGUUGGCUGCGGUCUAAGUUCCUUGGAACAGGACGUCACAGAGGGUGAGAAUCCCGUACGUGGUCGACAGUCUCCACCGUGUAAAGCCCCUUCGACGAGUCGAGUUGUUUGGGAAUGCAGCUCUAAAUGGGAGGUAAAUUUCUU